rnacentral:lncRNA from 1 species
AGUGACAUUUAUUUGGAAACACAUAUUAAACAGCCAAAUGGAUGCACAAAAGAAAAAUUACAGUAGUGACAUGAUCGAUUGAAUACAAUUAUCAGGCAAAUUUAAUUGAUUCUGUAGCGUUUGUUUGAUUUAUGACAAACUUUUACCCAAAAUCACCAGUAUCGUAUCCAGACCCACCAGCACAAUGAAAGGACACACCAGCACAGAAUCAG